rnacentral:misc_RNA from 1 species
AAAAAAAAAAAACUAAUUACUAACUAAUCUAUAUCUGCAGAUACCCUAUUUAGGUUUCAGCAGAGACCUUCCAUACUUUUAUCUCCCCAUCAAGACUUCCACUACAAAUCGACAAGGACGAACCGCCAUUAUUAUACCCACCUUCUCCUGCAACUGCCACAAGCGACUUAACUGGCCUUUCAUGCCCCUCCAAAACUACCACGCAACUAUACCCAUUCUUUUUCCCUUUUUGCCAAAUCCUCACCGUCCGAUCUGAUGACCCACUCACCAGCAAAUCAUCUACAGUCAACAUGCAUAAUAUUGCCCCCGCAUGAUCCCCCAAUGCCUCCGCAAACACCAUCUGAUGUUCAUUUUCAUUUACUUCCUUCCUUUCCCACACCAUGAUCGAAUCACAACCACCGGAGAACAGCACUGAUCCAUCACCGUUCAAUG